GUCUUAGUUCUCUGCAGCUACAUUACACUUCCAUUAUAUGCCCUUGUAACUCAGAUGGGUUCACAUAUGAAGAAAUCAAUCUUUGAUGAACAAACAAGUAAGGCCCUUAAGAAGUGGCAUAUGGCUGUGAAAAAGAGGCACAAGAAAGGAGGGAAGUCUCCCACUAUGACUUUGGGUGGAAGUGCAAGUCCAGUCUCAACAGUACACUCUUCUGGACACACACUGCACCGUUUCAAAACCACUGGACACUCAAGCCGCUCAUCAUACGCCUAUGAGGACCAGGAAAUGUCUGAUAUGGAAGCUGAGACAUUGUCACCCACAUCGUCCACAACCAACUUGAUUGUAAGAACCAGCCAAGAUGAUGAAGCUGCUGAAUUAAGCGAACCCCACCACGACGAAGAAACAAGCAAUGAAGAUGACUUCUCUUUUGUCAAGCCUGCUGUACCGAAACAGCCAUGAAGAGGCAAAAUUUUCCAUGUAUAUGCCAUGGCACCCCUUUGUACCUGUAGGUCUGAGAAAACAUUAUAGUUGUAUGAACGCAGUUUGCUAAAUACAGCAGCUUUUUUUUCUGCUUGUCCAUAUUUACUGGAUUUAGCAUCCAGCAGUUCUCCUUCAUCAUGUACUCUACAUUUUGAUUCAGCCAGGAUGAACUAGGAGAUUCAACUCAAAGCUAUUCGGAACAUUUAUAUUUUGUUUCAGAAAUAUUAUACAAUAGC
rnacentral:misc_RNA from 1 species